rnacentral:rRNA from 1 species
GAUGAACGCUGGCGGCGUGCUUAACACAUGCAAGUCGAACGAAACACCUUAUUUGAUUUUCUUCGGAACUGAAGAUUUGGUGAUUGAGUGGCGGACGGGUGAGUAACGCGUGGGUAACCUGCCCUGUACAGGGGGAUAACAGUCAGAAAUGACUGCUAAUACCGCAUAAGACCACAGCACCGCAUGGUGCAGGGGUAAAAACUCCGGUGGUACAGGAUGGACCCGCGUCUGAUUAGCUGGUUGGUGAGGUAACGGCUCACCAAGGCGACGAUCAGUAGCCGGCUUGAGAGAGUGAACGGCCACAUUGGGAAUGAGACACGGCCCAAACUCCUACGGGAGGCAGCAGUGGGGAAUAUUGCACAAUGGGGGAAACCCUGAUGCAGCGACGCCGCGUGAGUGAAGAAGUAUUUCGGUAUGUAAAGCUCUAUCAGCAGGGAAGAAAAUGACGGUACCUGACUAAGAAGCCCCGGCUAACUACGUG